ACAGGCUUAACACAUGCAAGUCGAGGGGCAGCAUGGUCUUAGCUUGCUAAGGCCGAUGGCGACCGGCGCACGGGUGAGUAACACGUAUCCAACCUGCCGUCUACUCUUGGACAGCCUUCUGAAAGGAAGAUUAAUACAAGAUGGCAUCAUGAGUCCGCAUGUUCACAUGAUUAAAGGUAUUCCGGUAGACGAUGGGGAUGCGUUCCAUUAGAUAGUAGGCGGGGUAACGGCCCACCUAGUCUUCGAUGGAUAGGGGUUCUGAGAGGAAGGUCCCCCACAUUGGAACUGAGACACGGUCCAAACUCCUACGGGAGGCAGCAGUGAGGAAUAUUGGUCAAUGGGCGAGAGCCUGAACCAGCCAAGUAGCGUGAAGGAUGACUGCCCUAUGGGUUGUAAACUUCUUUUAUAAAGGAAUAAAGUCGGGUAUGGAUACCCGUUUGCAUGUACUUUAUGAAUAAGGAUCGGCUAACUCCGUGCCAGCAGCCGCGGUAAUACGGAGGAUCCGAGCGUUAUCCGGAUUUAUUGGGUUUAAAGGGAGCGUAGAUGGAUAUUUAAGUCAGUUGUGAAAGUUUGCGGCUCAACCGUAAAAUUGCAGUUGAUACUGGAUAUCUUGAGUGCAGUUGAGGCAGGCGGAAUUCGUGGUGUAGCGGUGAAAUGCUUAGAUAUCACGAAGAACUCCGAUUGCGAAGGCAGCCUGUUAAG
rnacentral:rRNA from 1 species